UACGUAGGGUGCAAGCGUUAAUCGGAAUUACUGGGCGUAAAGCGUGCGCAGGCGGUUCGUGAUGUCUGGUGUGAAAGCCCCGGGCUUAACCUGGGAAUUGCAUUGGAAACUAGCGGGCUGGAGUGUGGCAGAGGGGGGGUGGAAUUCCACGUGUAGCAGUGAAAUGCGUAGAGAUGUGGAGGAACACCGAUGGCGAAGGCAGCCCCCCUGGGCUAACACUGACGCUCAUGCACGAAAGCGUGGGGAGCAAACAGG
rnacentral:rRNA from 1 species